rnacentral:rRNA from 1 species
GGACGGGUGAGUAAUGCCUGGGAAAUUGCCCAGUCGAGGGGGAUAACAGUUGGAAACGACUGCUAAUACCGCAUACGCCCUACGGGGGAAAGCAGGGGACCUUCGGGCCUUGCGCGAUUGGAUAUGCCCAGGUGGGAUUAGCUAGUUGGUGAGGUAAUGGCUCACCAAGGCGACGAUCCCUAGCUGGUCUGAGAGGAUGAUCAGCCACACUGGAACUGAGACCGGUCCAGACUCCUACGGGAGGCAGCAGUGGGGAAUAUUGCACAAUGGGGGAAACCCUGAUGCGCCUGCCGCGUGUGUGAAGAAGGCCUUCGGGUUGUAAAGCACUUUCGCGAGGAGGAAAGGUUGUUGGCUAAUAUCCAACAGCUGUGA